AGGCACCACACUCAUAAACACCAGAGAGGCUCCGUCCCCACAGAAUCUGUGAGGAACGCUGUGGACACACUCUGCUAGCAGGCUCUUUCACAACUGAACAUGUCCCAUCACCAUCACCACCACCACAACCAUCAUGGCCACAAUAUGGGUUUCCAGCCAGGAGGCUAUGUGGCACCCGGAGCCUACGUCUCUCCCGGAGCCUACGUCUCUCCUGGGGCCUACGUGUCUCCCGGGGCCUACGUCUCUCCCGGAGCCUACGUCUCACCUGGAAUAGGAGUGGUUCCACCAGGGGGUGUCGUACUACCAGCUUGCCCUCCUGCCCCAUACCAACCAGGCGGUUAUGAAACCUUUGGCACUGCAUGGAAUUAUGAAAACCAUCACGGUCAUCAUCACCAUCAUGGUCAUCAUCACCAUCACUGAUCGACUGAACCUCUUAUUCAUAGUGAUUUAUAGGGCUGCUACCAUAUUAUGAUAAUGAUAUUGCAGUUAUUAACAGCUAAACAUUAUUAUUGAUAUUUUGGACUUUCUCUGCUGGCCUCAGGAGGUUGGGCUCUCCCUUGGAGUUUGGUUCCUCCUAAGAUCUCUUCCUACUGGGGAGUUUUUCUCUGCAACUAUCGCCUCUGACCUGCUAUCUUGGGGCUUUUGGGGUAUGUAAACCACUUUGAGACAUAGUGUCACAAUGCUGUGUAUAAAAAUAAAUUGAAUUUAAUUAAUUGUAAUAUCUGGGGUUCAGUUGUGAAGAUGAAAAUGUGUUAUACCAACUUUAUCUGCUUAAUGUGUCCUCGUCAAACAAAAGGAGUAGCUUUAUACAGCUUGAUCUAUUCUUAAAUGUUUUAUUGUUUGACAGCAGAAAGAAUUUGAAAGAAACAUGAAACUGAAUUCACAGACCUUUUAUUCAAUUAUUGAAAGUAUGAAAUAAAAUAUUACCUCUUAUACAGA